UGUAGGACAAAGAAACCUUAUGUCUUGAAUACAAAUUCUGUGCAGAAGAACAAGCAUUACCACAACAGGCAGCUGGUUACCAAACAUUUGGAAUCGUGAGUAUUUGAAGAAAUAAUGUGACUUCAAUUAUUUUUUUCUUUGUAGGCUGGGGUGGAGUCAACUCUUUGUUUGGGAAACACUGCUCAGACUCCGCUCCCUUCAGGUACUGGAAGGCUGAAAUUAGCUUGCCCCAAAGCAUAGGAAUGAUGGUCAUGUCCAUCUGGAGUCUUCAGACAGAACAACUUGGAUUCUUGACCAGAUCUGCUGCUGGCUCAUCAGAUAAAAAGUGCUAGGCUGGACAGAACUUCUCCUCACACAGAGCAGCUCUUCUGCUCUCUGCUCAUCUGUCACCAGUGUUCCUUCCUGCUUUCAGCCCUGUUUCCAUGCAGUGCUACCAUCCCUGGACUCCUUAAGAAGGAUUGCAAGCAUCAAGGGACAUUACUGCUGAUGCGAUCAUCAAUGACUGCUGCUGGAAAUCCAUGCAGAAAUAUGUGCUGUGCACAGGGAAGCAGGCAGCAACAACACCCAGCUCUCCUUCCCUCUUUCCUUUCCUCCCCUUGUAAUUGAAAUUCAGGGACUGUAAGUCCCACUAUCUCCUGUCAGGAUAGUUCCAUUCCUUGGGGAAGGGGUUAGCAAUAGCAAGCCAUGCCUUAGCAGCAGUGUGCCAUCCCACAUGUGUAAAGACCAGUACAUGCAGGUGUACUCUGAUUUUAGCCAAGAUUUUUUUGGAUGUGAGUCCAAAAAUGAGGAAUGAGGGAUAAGAGCAAAUCCAUGUGCACAGGUGACCAAAAUAGCAAUGUUUUGCUUGAUCUAAUUUUGAGGCAAAUUUUCCUCACAGAAGGGACAGAGAAGUCAGACUGUGGAAACACCCCAAUCCAUUUAAGACAAGCCACAGCUGUGUACCUUUGAGGAGUGAGGCUUCCUGUAGUCUCAAGCAUUUUGUAGUGACAUCUAUAUGCAAAUCAUCAGGCCAGGUCUGACAGCAGUAGCCAAACACGUUCUCAUGAUCAGCAGGCAAGUCCAUAGUGCCAGGGCAGGUCCCAUGUCAGGCUAGGAGCAGGGGCCAUGGCCAGGCAUGACUGAAACACAAUUGGAGCUGGAGCAGAGCUCAGCAGAGACUGAGAUGCAGUGGAGGCCCUGAGCAGAACAUUUGGGUUGAGGCCCUAUGGGAGUUUGAAGAGAGCAGCUAAGUUUCAUUAAUGCACUUAGGACCCUGACACAAUUUUUCUAGGAUAUAUGCAACAGGAGAGGUGAAAAAGUACCAAGGAACUUUGGACUGAGCCAAAUAUAUUUAUUUACUAUUAGAUAUUUGUCUGUUGUUAGAUAUUUAUUGUUGUUAGAUGUUUAUUAUUGCUGUUAGUUACUUACUAUUGUUAUAUAUUUAGCUGUUAUUAAAUACCUACAAUUAGUAGAUGUUUAGAAUGGAGACUCAACAAAGUAAAGGCCUUGUCAAGCCUCUAAAGGAAGGAAAUGAUGUCUUAAUCUUUAGCUUUCAUAUUUUUUAGAUUCUGUACUGCCUUAGUGUAUGACUCUGAACUUCAUAUAAAGCGUUAGCAAGUUCUCUUCACAGGGCAGUCAGACAAAACAAUCCUUUUCCAGCCUGACAACAAAGGACACCAUUGCAGCUUCAGGCCCAAAAGGUACAAAUAACAGUAAACUGCUGGGAGCAGCGUGGGAGGAUGGGACUUCAUAACCUGAAGCUGUAAUUGGACAAUUAACCCCAAUAUGUAAAUGGACCAAAACUUAUAAAAGUGUGAAAACUUGUGACUGGUUGUCCACCUUGGGCAGAGCCAUGGCUGGACUCUUGUACUGCCCAAGGUGUAUCCUUUAAAGGCCUUUUAAUAAAUACCUACUUUAGUCCUUUAACUCUGUCUAACCUCUAUUCCAGGUCAGCCUCUUUAGGCAACAAUUCACUCCACAAAAUAAGAAGCCCCAGCUGUUCCAGUGUGGUCCAUGCCACAGGAGUGUCAGACAGAGUCAGAUGUGUCCUGUCUCAUUGUUUUGCCCAGAACACUUGAAAAACAAGGAAGUAAUGGUUAGCACCAGUCUGCAGUGACCAUGCCCAAGAGAAGAGGCCCAAGAGAAGAGGCAGCCACUCAAUGUGACUUUUGCUUUCCUGACGCCCAGAAAAGCCAGCAAGAAACAAACUCUAAAGGGAGGUUAGGAGGAAUAUUAAAGGCAUUCAGUUGCAAUAGACUUUUAAAACAAUCAUGAUAAAAUUUAGCACAAAGUACUACUUUUUUAGUAUUUUCAUAAUACAUGGUUUAUAUGCAAAAUUACAGAGACCUACCUUUGGAUGUCUCCGCUUUUUCUGUUUUCAAAUUCACUCACAGGAUUCUGAUCAUCACUUUUUUUUAACUGAGUUUCUUCACAAGAAUCAGAUCUCAUGGAAAGGAAGGAAGGAAGUGGCGGAAGGAAGGAAGUGGCGGAAGGAAG